rnacentral:rRNA from 1 species
GAUGAACGCUGGCGGCGUGCCUAAUACAUGCAAGUCGAGCGAACAGACGAGGAGCUUGCUCCUCUGACGUUAGCGGCGGACGGGUGAGUAACACGUGGAUAACCUACCUAUAAGACUGGGAUAACUUCGGGAAACCGGAGCUAAUACCGGAUAAUAUAUUGAACCGCAUGGUUCAAUAGUGAAAGACGGUUUUGCUGUCACUUAUAGAUGGAUCCGCGCCGCAUUAGCUAGUUGGUAAGGUAACGGCUUACCAAGGCAACGAUGCGUAGCCGACCUGAGAGGGUGAUCGGCCACACUGGACCUGAGACACGGUCCAGACUCCUACGGGAGGCAGCAGUAGGGAAUCUUCCGCAAUGGGCGAAAGCCUGACGGAGCAACGCCGCGUGAGUGAUGAAGGUCUUCGGAUCGUAAAACUCUGUUAUUAGGGAAGAACAAAUGUGUAAGUAACUAUGCACGUCUGGACGGUACCUAAUCAGAAGGCCACGGCUAACUACGU